rnacentral:rRNA from 1 species
CCAACGAGUUACGUUAAGUAGCAAGGUUAAGCACUUAAGGUGCGGAGCCGUAGCGAAAGCGAGUUUUAACUGAGCGUUCAGUUACUUGACGUAGACCCGAAACCGGGCGACCUACCCAUGAGCAGGAGGAAGCGAAAGUAAAAUGUCGUGGAGGUCCGAACCCACGAGCGUUGAAAAGCUCGGGGAUGACUUGUGGGUAGCGGUGAAAUUCCAAUCGAGCCCGGAGAUAGCUGGUUCUCCCCGAAAUAGCUUUAGGGCUAGCCUCAAGGUGA